AAUGUUAGAUUGAAUGGGUAUCUUACGAACACAGCCAAGAAACUUUCCAAGGGAGUUGCAUACACAACGCAACUCGGCGAAAACAUUUUAAGCCCUGGAUGAUGCACAGGAUGUCGCAGGACUACUGGCCCUACUACAGGCAAGUCUUGUGCAGGGAUACUGGAGGUCACUGAGAUCACUGUAAACACAGUGAUGUCAGCACCAGUAAAGCACUCCAGGAGAUUGCAGCCGUACCGCCAUGCUGCAUCGGCAACAGCCCAUUGCACGUCAGUAGUUGCACCAGCCCCCACGGCUUCUGCUACAAGUGUGCAGGGCUAGGAGAUUUACCAAUUAGCUGUCCAAUCAAUAAAGUAACGCCCUACUCUUGACUGAGUUAUUACUCAAGGUAUCAGUUGAAUUCAGGCGAGCCAAGCAAAAUGAGUCACAUGUGCCCACUUAAAGUUCCAUGUGCAUUUGUAUUUGCCUGCUUGUUUUCAGGUGGCUUUUUCUCAUUGCACCUAAAGCAUGCAGAAAAGCCAUCUCAACAGGAGUUAAAAAUAUAGGUCAAUGAAAAGGGCAUAGAGACUACAUAUUCAGACUGGAAAAUGCCGUUUAUUAUACGUCACAAAAUAUUUUCCCUUGAUUUGCCAAACAUCGGUAUAGUAGCGAAGUAUAAAACAUUGAUUCUUUCAUAGCGUUUUUUUUUACUUUUCAUAAUUACAAUAAAAUAUUGGCUGACUUUUCCAAGGCACAUUUGGGAGUACGACUGGCGUGUGUACAAUUCGUCUGAAAAAUAUGAGAAUUCUACUGAAAGAUACGCAAUAUGGUCAGCUAAUGGCAAGGCACAGAUACAAGUUCUCUCAACUUGUGAACAGUGUUUGCUAAGUUGUCACAUUUACGCUCUGUAAGUAAUCAAACAACAAUCUCUCGUACACAACAAUAAAGCGCACGAUUACACUAUGAAUCCAAUAAGUGUGUCAGUUAUCGUCCACACGGAAAGCUUAUGAGCACACUGUUUCACAAUUAAAUAAACAUGUAAUCAUACAUCAGGCUGCACAAAAAAAGGACACUUAAACAUUCAACAUAAAUAAAAAUGCUCCUAUUUACAAGCAUUUCUUGACAUUAAAUCAUUUUUAGCUUGUAAACAUAACAGCACAAACUAAUGUAUUCAUAACUGCUCCAUAAAUCCUCUGAGAUACAUGUGACACACCACUGUUGAGCAGCCUUAAAAUCAUUUAGCACGCAAGGCACACAAUCACCAAGUGUGUCAGCUUCUGAAAAGUCUUCUUGAGCACAAGUUUUCUCAUUCUGAAAAACAGAUCUUGUGUCAAACUUUGGGAGGUAUUGCUCCGACAUGUGAUGAAAGGCUAAUGGCUGCAUCAUAUGCAGCCACGAAUCACUGGUAAAAAAAAAAAGAA
rnacentral:lncRNA from 1 species